AUUGCUCGUUCACACCAAAAUCGAACCCGUGGGCAUUUGAAGGAUUCUUGCGAAUUGCUGUCCGCUGUUUUCAAACCUCAAAACUACCUAUACAGUGGCAUAUAUGUAUAAUCUUGGAGGGCAUUAGCGCAC